AGCUCCAAUAGCGUAUAUUAAAGUUGUUGCAGUUAAAACGCUCGUAGUCGAACUUUAGACAAGGCCGAUCGGUCUGCCGUUAGGCAGGACUGAACGCGCCGCGUCUCUUUAUCGGGGAACUAGGGGCGAAAGUCUCAGGGAACCGAGGAUUACUGUGAAGAAAUUAGAGUGUUUAAAGCAGGCGUUUGCUUGAAUACAUUAGCAUGGAAUAAUAAGAUAGGACCAUGGUUCUAUUUUAUUGGUUUGAGGACCAAGGUAAUGAUUAAUAGGGACAGUUGGGGGCAUUAGUAUUCAGUAGUCAGAGGUGAAAUUCUUGGAUUUACUGAAGACUAACUAAUGCGAAAGCAUUUGCCAAGGAUGUUUUCA
rnacentral:rRNA from 1 species